rnacentral:lncRNA from 1 species
GUGGUCGGGAGAUAUCUGGUGCUGUUUUGCUUUUUUCCUGAAAUGAAUUGCAGAUGUACAUUACUUCAGCUAGAAUGACUACUAAACUGGUGAGCAUUAUUAGUCCAGAAAUGCUCCCAUCAUGUAAGAUAUAUUUAUUUGACAUUUCAUUCUUGCAGUUCCCCGCCGUCAAUGGAAGAAUCACUAUCGCUUUACACCAGCCUUUUGCUUUAUUCAUUCUGAU